CUAUACAUGACUCUGCGCAUAUCAAUAAGCGGAGGAAAAGAAACUAACAAGGAUUCCCCUAGUAACGGCGAGUGAAGCGGGAAGAGCUCAAAUUUGAAAUCUUAAAGGGUUUUCCUUGACGAAUUGUAGUUUAAAGAAGUGUUUUCUGUUAGAGAGGUUCGGUAAAAGUUCUUUGGAAUAGGACAUCAUAGAGGGUGAGAAUCCCGUAUUUGACCUUACUUUCCUAACUGUGUGAUACACUUUCAACGAGUCGGAUUGUUUGGGAAUGCAGUCCAGAAUGGGUGGUAGAUUUCAUCUAAAGCUAAAUAUUGGCGAGAGACCGAUAGCGAACAAGUACCGUGAGGGAAAGAUGAAAAGAACUUUGAAAAGAGAGUUAAACAGUACGUGAAAUUGUCAAAAGGGAAGCGUUUGACACCAGUGUUGUUUUCUCGAAAAUCAAUUAAGAAUGAUGUAUUUUGAGGAUUGUAUUGACUUUAUCAGGCUUUCUGCACUUUUUUCUGAAUCUUUUUAAUGCACUUUUCGGUUAACAAGUCAACAUCAAUUUCAUUUGUUGUAAAAGAGGUCAUUGAGGAAGGUGGCUUUCUUUCGGAGAAAGUGUUUAUAGCCUUGUGCUUCUGCAAUCGGAGAGAUUGAGGUCUGCAGCGUAGAUCCUUCGGGGUUAGAUACAGUUUGUGCUAAGUUAUAGCCUUUCAUAGACAACUUGUUGACUAUGAUCAGUCAUGUAGCUUACUCGCUGAUGUUAUUUUACCUACGCUUAGGAUGUUGACACACGCGCGUGCUCG
rnacentral:rRNA from 1 species